GAUCCUGGCUCAGGAUGAACGCUAGCUACAGGCUUAACACAUGCAAGUCGAGGGGCAGCAUGAACUUAGCUUGCUAAGUUUGAUGGCGACCGGCGCACGGGUGAGUAACGCGUAUCCAACCUGCCGAUGACUCGGGGAUAGCCUUUCGAAAGAAAGAUUAAUACCCGAUGGCAUAGUUCUUCCGCAUGGUAGAACUAUUAAAGAAUUUCGGUCAUCGAUGGGGAUGCGUUCCAUUAAA
rnacentral:rRNA from 1 species